UUUUAAUAAAAGCAAAACAAUUGAAAAAUUGUGACGCAAAGAUCUGAAUCUAAAGCUAAAUUAGCAAUGAUUGUCAGAUUCACCUCA
rnacentral:ncRNA from 1 species